AAAGAGAGCUCAAGUGUUUUAAAUAUUUAUUUUAAAUGGAAGAGACAGGAGGCAUAUGCCAUAUAAAUUACCCUAUGUUGAAAGCUCCUGAAGGCAGGGACAGUUUGCUUCUGCAUUGCUUUAUACAUUUCCUAACAUAGAAGUAUAUGUAAAUAAACUACACAUUUCUAAGCAUAGUGAUGCUGUGUGAGGAGUAGCCUCGGUCAAUCUGAAAUAAAUAAAUAAAUAAAUAAACAAGCCAGAGCAUCCUCCAAAGUCUUACUCUGAGUGAUUUUCUUCUGUCCUGUGUUUACCUUCCCUCAAUAUCCAAUUUACAAUGUCUCACUUGUUGUGGAGGCCUCAUGUGUAUAUCCUGAAUUAAUUGAAUAAUGUGUUUAAGGAAGCCUUUUAUAGUAUUCUACAGGUCAUAGGGUAUCUUUUAUGCUUAGCUAAAUUGGAGAACCAUUUAAUUUUUGCAUAUGUUUUUAUACAAUUAGGUCACAUAGAGAAGUGGCAAUUUCUUGCUCAAUAUUCGAAAAGGCCAAACAGGAGAAACUCAAAAAUUUGGAACCUAAGGCUGUGCCCUUUGCUGUGGCUGUUAAUAUUUUUGUUUCUGUUUCCUCAUUGAUUGAUUAAAUGAGAAUAAGAAGUCUUUCUACACACCUACUUCACAAAUGGUUUAAAUAUGGUAAGCACACAUACUAUAAAAUAAAUGAAAUCCCCAGUAGAGCUUGGAUGGACAGGGCCAAGAGGGUUGUUUUUGGUCAUACAACUGACCUCAAGCUCUCCUUCAUGCCUGGAAGAUUUUUCUCAACAUUAGGCUAAAUUUCUCAUAUGGGUUGGUAAGAUCUGGACCACAGUGUCAAGAAACUUUUAGUUUUACUGGGUCCCAGGGUAGACCUCUGAUACACAGUGGAAAGCAUACAUCAUUCCUGUUUUUACCAAGUUCCAUGCUCUAAAAUUUAUGGUCACUAAGAAACCAGUAGACCCUAGUGAUUAAGAUCUCAGGCUCUGGACUCAGAUUUACAUCUCUGUUAUUUCUCUGAUAUUUGACAAGUCUCCAAAGCUCUUUGAGCCUCAUCAUUGAAAUUGGGUGAAAUUAUUAAUAAUAUCCACUACAAAGGUUUGCUCUCAGAAUUAAAUGAGAUAGUACAUGUACAGCAUUUAGUGUGAUUCCUAGAACAUGAGCAUUUCUCAAUAAACGUUAGCUGUUAGCUGUAUUGGAUGUUUACUUCAUAAUAUAAAGUAUGCUCGUUAGCCAUUUCAGCCACCAUUUUUAAGUAGAAAAAUAAUCAAUGAGUUUCUUUCUUUGAUCCUAUGCAAUUCUCAGAAACUAUUAACAAAGUGUAACAUGAAGGAUCUCUGGGCUUUGACACUGGGGGCAGGUAGGUGAUGAGAAAACAGAUAAAUGAAAGAAAAUAAAUGGUGAGACACUCAUAUCAGCAAGUGCCCCGCCACAGUACUGAGGAGAAUAUGACACUACGGUUUGGGAAGAUGCUAUGGGAAGCGAGGUACGAGAGCCUCUAGGAAGUGUGCAAUCUAGUUUAAAGAUGAAAUGGAGGUGAAAUGCAGAGCAACAAAGCAGAUUCAGAGUAAAAGAAGAGGAAUAGAGCAAGAAAGCACAUAGCCCCGGAUAGAACGACGAAAUGGGUUGCAUGUGAUUUAAACAUGUUACUGAAGAAGCUUGACUGUGUAGAGAGCAAGUGUAGGAAAAAAGUGUGUGUGUGUGUGCAUGCGCGUGCAUGUGUGUGUGAUUCUCUGCUCUUUCAAAUCCUGUGUUCUGGACUUGUUAUUUUUCCCACUGUUUGUCGAAAUCUUGGGCAGCUCCAUAGAUUUUUCUAGUCCCUUGUAGUCGUGAGAACUUAUUGCAGUAAUUAAGAAUUUCCAUCCAGAAAAGUCUUUUGUCUUUUAUCCAACUGAAAGCUUCUUCUCUGACAGACUACAGUAGGAGGCAAAGUUUCUCCCUCCCUCUC
rnacentral:lncRNA from 1 species